GCAUAGGCGCAGGCACCCGCCAAUCAGCAGCCACGGCCAAUAGCGCUGGGAUACAGGGGGACUUGUCCCGCCCAGCAACCCUGAGGCGGCUCCGCUUUCCUAGCGGAGGGAACAGAGCGGCUGAGGCUGCACUGGUAGAGCGACCUGUCAAUCCAACAUGGACCGAUUAAUCCCGCCCUUCCGCGGACGCGAUUGGCCAGCCGGCCCCGGGGCGGGGCUCUUCUCGGGAUGCUCGGGGGCGAUUGGCGCGAGGCUCCUUCCGUUUCCGGGUAGCGGCCGCGCGCGUGAGGCGCUGCUGGUCCGCCCGCCCGGGCCCUGCGCCAUCGCCGCGAUGGACGGGCCGCGCUUCCCCUCCGCGGGAUGGACGGGCCGCGCUCCCCCUCCUGCGCUCCCACCGUCGGCUCCGCGGGGAGCGCUGAGCAGCAUGGCGGAGAGGCGUUGCUGGGCGCCGCUGCUGUGCUCAGCCUCUCCCUUCGGGCCUGGGGACCCUCGAAGACCCGCGGGCCGUGCCGGCGCCGCCGGCCCUCGGGCGGGGUUCUAGGUUUUAUCUCGCUGGCCCUUUGGUGGUGCAGGCGGUGGUGGAGUUCCCUCGGGCCAGGGCUGGCUAAGGGUGGAGGCGGAUCCCCGAGAAGGGGCUGAUGGAGCCGGGCUGCGCUAAAGCGCGCUCAGGUGGCAGCGGGGAGGCCGCUCUCGGACGAGCAGCGCCGUUCAGUCGGCGCCUUCUGGCCUCGUAGGCAGCGGAGGCUGUAUGUGGGCAGCUGGCAAACUGCUGCAUGGGUCUGUCUCCUUCCUGGCUUUGGCUGUGUCUGGGGACCGAUUUGACUGUGUUCGGUUUCCCGGGUUUGGUUAAUUUUUGGUGGGAUAAAGCAGGCGGUUUGUCCCUGAGAAAGUAGCGGUGCUUUGCGUGCUCGGAUUUGGUGCUGAGAGGGGAGACCCGAGUAGUUUUUGCACAGCUUGACCUGUCACCCGAGCAGCUGGCAGGGGUGGCAGCGGGUUGGAAAAAUGGGAGCACGAUUGGGCUGGCUGUCUGAGCAAAAGAAUGGUUCAGUCGAUGCUGGAGCAAGGACAGAAGUGCCUAAUGUUAGCCAGAGAAGUGCUGGAUUUGGAACGCGUCCUGUGCAGCCAGCUUUGCUCUCCUGGGCAGAUGCCGAAUUCUUUCCAAGAACUUGGCGCAGAGCGUGGCGGUCUCCUAAAGCAGCAGGGCCUAUCCUAUAAUGAUUUAAAUCAUCUGUUCAGAAGAAGCAUUAAUGGAACUUGCAUAAGAAUCCUGACAUUUUGCUGAUGUUCCUGUUAGAAGACCUAUCACCUCAUUUUGAAAUAAAGCAUUAAUAAAAGCACCACUAUUCAAA